GAUCCUGGCUCAGGGUGAACGCUAGCGGCAGGCUUAACACAUGCAAGUCGAGGGGCAGCACGAGGUAGCAAUACUUUGGUGGCGACCGGCGCACGGGUGCGUAACGCGUAUGCAACCUACCUUUAACAGGGGCAUAACACUGAGAAAUUGGUACUAAUUCCCCAUAACAUUCGAGAAGGCAUCUUCUUGGGUUAAAAACUCCGGUGGUUAAAGAUGGGCAUGCGUUGUAUUAGCUGGUUGGUGAGGUAACGGCU
rnacentral:rRNA from 1 species